rnacentral:rRNA from 1 species
GACGUAGGGUCCAAGCGUUGUCCGGAUUUACUGGGCGUAAAGGGCGCGUAGGCGGCAAUUCAAGUCAUCUGUGAAAUCUCCGGGCUUAACCCGGAACGGUCAGGUGAUACUGUCUUGCUAGAGUGCGGAAGGGGCAAUCGGAAUUCUUGGUGUAGCGGUGAAAUGCGUAGAUAUCAAGAGGAACACCUGAGGUGAAGACGGGUUGCUGGGCCGACACUGACGCUGACAGCGCGAAAGCCAGGGGAGCAAACGGGG